GUGACUCUGUCUCCUUCCCACAGUAAGCCACCUGUAAAGCUACUCACUGCAAGAACUGAUGUCAUCUCUCAAAAUUCAGUUCAUCUAACUUUCCCUGAAAUCUCGAUCUCUAGGUCAUAGUUUCAUUCUGAGCUGCACCCUGCUACUAAAUAAAUUAAUGCUCUUUAUCACUUCAAACUCAAAUUCAUGUGUGCAGUCAUGUUUGUCAAGUAAAGAAGGAAAGAAAAAAGUUAAAAAGGGAAUCAAAGAAAUUCUACAAAGCAAAUGAUAGAGAAUCUGUUAGAAGGUGGGUGCUGUGGUGCACGCCUGUGUUCCCAGGUACUCAGGAAGCUCAGGCAAGAAGAUCUCAAGAUGGAAGCUAGCUUGAGCAACUUAGUGUGACACUGCGCCAAAAUAAAUAAAUAAAUAAACAAGGCAGGGCAUGUUGCUUAAUAGUAGAGCACAGCUCUACCAGUCCCUAUUAGCCAUCCCCUAAACAUGAAUCUGCUAGCAAAUUUUCUUGGGGCUCAUUUACUUGAGUAUUGAUCUAAAAAUAGAAUAUUUCAUAAUAACCAUAUAGGCCCCCCAGAAACCUAAUUGUUUUCUUCAGCACUAAUGAUGAGUGGAUAUGAUUAAUGUUAUCUGUCUUUUGAAAGAGGUCAUGAGAAGAAGAGCAACUUGCCACCAAGUAAUGACACCCAGUUUUUAAUAAUCUCGUUUUUUCUUUUCACAAGAUCAAGAUCUUUUUCUGUGUCUUAUCAGUAAGUUUUCCAUAUCUGAAGACCAGCAAAGGAAUUUGCUACUUUUCAUAAAUUGAAAAGUUUUGGGGAAAUACAAAAUGAAACAUACAUUUCAAAUGGAAAGCCUAGAAGUGAGGUGAAAUUUGUUCAAGCAAAAAACAGCUUCACCUUCCUAUGUCCUUCUGUUCCAGCCCUUGUGUUGAUUUUGCUAACGAGUGGCAGCGUGUGUGACCUCUUAAUCUCCUUGGUUCUCUGGUUCCUUCUGGAAGUAAAAAGGUCUGUGACUCUAUUUAACAGUAGUUCUUAGCCUGGCUGGUAACUGACAUUGAUAGGAGUCUGAUAAAAGUUGUGAACUAUCUUCCUAGUAAAAAGCAGUUCCCUAAAAAAAUAUGUAUAUAUAAUUACAUUUAUAUUGCUAUAUUACUUAUAUCAAAUUUCAUGCAUGUGUAUACACACACACACACACAUACACAUAACACAUAUGUAUAUAUGUAUAUAUCCCCACCCCCACAAGCUGCCCUCUGUCUUCUGUGGAGGACUUGGCUAUUGUGCAAGUUUUCAUGGUGGUUAAGCCCCACUACCAGCAUGAAAUCUAGAAUCUGGAAAGGGGCAUCUGCCCUCUGUGAGCCUGCACAGAUGGAAUGCCAGCACACGGCUUAAUCGUAACCAGUUGAAACCUUUUGCUUCAUCUCAGGACUUUGAACACAGUUGUCUUUGCAAGGUAACAGGGUCAGCCUAGAUUUAUUCUGGAGCCAUCAGUGGUAGCAGCAUUCAGCAUUCCAGGCUCACAAUAGCCACAUUUUCAGUGGUAAAAGACUGUGUCAGCCAGCGGUGGGAUCUUAACCAGUCUCUUGCUGUGGUGUGGUUUGUGGUAUUGUAUUGGGUCCCUAGAUUUUCUUGGUUUUGUAACUGAUAUCUGGGAUCUCCAUCUUUCCAGUAAAUUCAGUGAAUUAUCCAAUAGUCUAGGAAUUUUCCUUUCCUACAUGAGUUCACCAGUAUUAGUUUCUGUUUUUUGCAAAUAGAAAACCUAAUACAUGUAAAAGUAGAAAAAAAUUCAGCCUAUCAUUUCAGUGUUUUAAUGAGCCCUUUUAAGAUCACCCAUGGAUUCUGUCUGCCUCUCUCACCCUAGUGGUGUUGCUGGAUUUCGGGGGUACCAAGGUUUGGGGUAUAUUUGCAAAUGCUGGUUAAAGGUGCCUCUCCAAAAGGGCAUCUAGUUAAUUGUUUAAAAAACGAGGGGUCAAAGCCUCAAUUUUCCCAUUGUAUCAACACAUGAUAAAUUACAAACUUAUGAUUAUCAAUUCUAGAAGGCCAAAUUUAUUUAGAAAGCAUAAAGUUUUAAUCCAAAUUAUUUACCCGAAAGCUUACUCUGUUCCUCCUGUUUUUCAACUGAACAGGGCAAAAUCUCUGUCCCUCUACCAAGUAAAUCAAGUAGGGUCCCUCAUCUAUUCAUCUCCUGUGAAUAUACUGAAGAAGUUUUAUUAAUGAAGGAAAUAAAAAGAGUUUACCAUGGGUGCUCUCAAUGGGUCUACUUUUGUUGGAAUUUCAAG
rnacentral:lncRNA from 1 species